rnacentral:rRNA from 1 species
GACGAACGCUGGCGGCGUGCUUAACACAUGCAAGUCGAACGGGUCUGCCCUGUUUUUUGCGGGGUGGGUCAGUGGCGAACGGGUGAGUAACACGUGAGUAACCUGCCCCUCACUUCUGGAUAACCGCUUGAAAGGGUGGCUAAUACGGGGUGUUCUGGCUGUGCCGCAUGGUGUGGCUGGGAAAGAUUCACUUUUGUGGUGUUUUGGUGGGGGAUGGGCUCGCGGCCUAUCAGCUUGUUGGUGGGGUGAUGGCCUGCCAAGGCUUUGACGGGUAGCCGGCCUGAGAGGGUGGGCGGUCACACUGGGACUGAGAUACGGCCCAGACUCCUGCGGGAGGCAGCAGUGGGGGGUAUUGCACAAUGGGCGGAAGCAUGAUGCAGCGACGUCGCGUGAGGGAUGGAGGCCUUCGGGUUGUGAACCUCUUUCGCCGGUGAAGAAGGUCCUGCUCUUUGUGGUGGGGUUGACGGUAGCCGGGUUAUGAAGCGCCGGCUAACUACGUG